GAUGAACGCUGGCGGCGUGCCUAAUACAUGCAAGUCGAGCGGAUGGAUUAAGAGCUUGCUCUUAUGAAGUUAGCGGCGGACGGGUGAGUAACACGCGGGUAACCUGCCCAUAAGACUGGGAUAACUCCGGGAAACCGGGGCUAAUACCGGAUAACAUUUUGAACCGCAUGGUUCGAAAUUGAAAGGCGGCUUCGGCUGUCACUUAUGGAUGGACCCGCGUCGCAUUAGCUAGUUGGUGAGGUAACGGCUCAUCAAGGCAACGAUGCGUAGCCGACCGGAGAGGGGGAUCGGCCACACUGGGACUGAGACACGGCCCAGACUCCUUCGGGAGGCAGCAGUAGGGAAUCUUCCGCAAUGGACGAAAGUCUGACGGAGCAACGCCGCGUGAGUGAUGAAGGCUUUCGGGUCGUAAAACUCUGUUGUUAGUGAAGAACAAGUGCUAGUUGAAUAAGCUGGCACCUUGACGGUACCUAACCAGAAAGCCACGGCUAACUACGUGCCAGCAGCCGCCGUAA
rnacentral:rRNA from 1 species